AUUGAACGCUGGCGGCAGGCCUAACACAUGCAAGUCGAACGAGUGGCGGACGGGUGAGUAAUGUCUGGGAAACUGCCUGAUGGAGGGGGAUAACUACUGGAAACGGUAGCUAAUACCGCAUACCAUCGGAUGUGCCCAGAUGGGAUUAGCUAGUAGGUGGGGUAAAGGCUCACCUAGGCGACGAUCCCUAGCUGGUCUGAGAGGAUGACCGGCCACACUGAAAGUAGGACGCGGUCCAGACUCCUACGGGGGGGAGCAGUGGGGAAUAUUGCACAAUGGGCGCAAGCCUGAUGCGGCCUGGCCGCGUGUAUGAAGAAGGCCUUCGGGUUGUAAAGUACUUUCAACGGGUAGGCGUUACCCGCAGAAGAAGCACCGGCUAACUCCGUGCCAGCGGCCGCGGUAAUU
rnacentral:rRNA from 1 species